rnacentral:rRNA from 1 species
AAUGAACGCUGGCGGCGUGGAUUAGGCAUGCAAGUCGAACGCGAAAGUUCCCUUCGGGGAGCGAGUAGAGUGGCGAAAGGGUGAGUAAUGCUUGGAUGACCUGCCCUCGAGACGGGGACAACAGUUCGAAAGGACUGCUAAUACCCGAUAGUCCGGUUUAGAUGCGUCUAGAUCGGUAAAUGGUGCUUCCGCUCGAGGAGGGGGUCAAGUCCUAUCAGCUUGUUGGUGAGGUAACGGCUCACCAAGGCGAUGACGGGUAGCCGGACUGAGAGGUUGGCCGGCCACAUGGGAACUGAGACACUGUCCUG